rnacentral:rRNA from 1 species
UCGAACGGUAACAGGAAGAAGCUUGCUUCUUUGCUGACGAGUGGCGGACGGGUGAGUAAUGUCUGGGAAACUGCCUGAUGGAGGGGGAUAACUACUGGAAACGGUAGCUAAUACCGCAUAACGUCGCAAGACCAAAGAGGGGGACCUUCGGGCCUCUUGCCAUCGGAUGUGCCCAGAUGGGAUUAGCUAGUAGGUGGGGUAACGGCUCACCUAGGCGACGAUCCCUAGCUGGUCUGAGAGGAUGACCAGCCACACUGGAACUGAGACACGGUCCAGACUCCUACGGGAGGCAGCAGUGGGGAAUAUUGCACAAUGGGCGCAAGCCUGAUGCAGCCAUGCCGCGUGUAUGAAGAAGGCCUUCGGGUUGUAAAGUACUUUCAGCGGGGAGGAAGGGAGUAAAGUUAAUACCUUUGCUCAUUGACGUUACCCGCAGAAGAAGCACCGGCUAACUCCGUGCCAGCAGCCGCGGUAAUACGGAGGGUGCAAGCGUUAAUCGGAAUUACUGGGCGUAAAGCGCACGCAGGCGGUUUGUUAAGUCAGAUGUG